GCGUGUAGGUGGUUCUGUAAGUAGGGCGUGAAAGGUCCUGGCUAAACUGGGAGAGGCCGUUCUAAACUGCAGAGCUAGAGGAUGGUAGAGGGAGGUGGAAUUCCGGGUGUAGCGGUGGAAUGCGCAGAUAUCCGGAGGAACACCAGUGGCGAAAGCGGCCUCCUGGACCAUUCCUGACACUCAGACGCGAAAGCUAGGGUAGCAAACGG
rnacentral:rRNA from 1 species